GAUUCAGUGUUUGGUUGAGCAUCCAGCCAGCAGCACUGAUGCUUGGUACUCCAGGCUUCACUUUCUCUCCCUUGGACAGUGGCACUCACUCCACCGAAUCAUUUAGGCGCAGAGAGACCCAGGCUCCAUUCUCUGCAGCCUGUGGAUGCCGGAGAGGGAAAAUCCAGGGUUUUGACUUUAAUUGUACGCAUUGCUCAACCGUCACUGAGGCCGGGGGGACAGACUCAUGUCAAAGGACAGCAGCCCCACUCCUUAAUUUGACCAAGUGGCGGAAGGAGCCGUCCCCCCUCAAGAUGGGCAGAGAAAACAGCGCUUCUCAAACCAUCUUAGCAGAUUGCCUUCAAAACAACUGUUUCGAAGUUCCUGGGGUGAAAGCCAAGUUACUCCUCAUCCUCCCCUGAACUCAGAAAACACGCUGAUACAACACAGAGGACUAGACAGAUGUCAGGUCAUGUGUCUCCCUGCCCAAGGCCACCCAGCGAUCCUCAUGUUACUCACAUCCUUACAGCGGCCGCCAGCACCUCCCUCGACUCACCACCUGCUUCUCUUAGCCUCUUCUCCCUCCAUCUCUGCCUCCUUGAGGCCUCCUCGCUCUUCCUCGAACACACCAAGCAGGCUCCUGACUUAGGGCCUUUACACAGCUGUGUGUGGUUAAUGCCUUCGUCCCCUUCACAU